UGCGAACUCCUACGGGAGGCAGCAGUGGGGAAUAUUGCACAAUGGGCGAAAGCCUGAUGCAGCGACGCCGCGUGAGGGAUGAAGGCCUUCGGGUUGUAAACCUCUUUCAGUAGGGAAGAAGCGAAAGUGACGGUACCUGCAGAAGAAGCGCCGGCUAACUACGUGCCAGCAGCCGCGGUAAUACGUAGGGCGCAAGCGUUGUCCGGAAUUAUUGGGCGUAAAGAGCUCGUAGGCGGUUUGUCGCGUCUGGUGUGAAAACUCAAGGCUCAACCUUGAGCUUGCAUCGGGUACGGGCAGACUAGAGUGUGGUAGGGGUGACUGGAAUUCCUGGUGUAGCGGUGGAAUGCGCAGAUAUCAGGAGGAACACCGAUGGCGAAGGCAGGUCACUGGGCCACUACUGACGCUGAGGAGCGAAAGCAUGGGGAGCGAACAGGAUUAGAAACCCUGGUAGUCCAGAUG
rnacentral:rRNA from 1 species